rnacentral:rRNA from 1 species
GACGAACGCUGGCGGCGCGCCUAACACAUGCAAGUCGAACGAGAGAGAGGAAGCUUGCUUCCUCAAUCGAGUGGCGAACGGGUGAGUAACGCGUGAGGAACCUGCCUCAAAGAGGGGGACAACAGUUGGAAACGACUGCUAAUACCGCAUAAGCCCACGGGUCGGCAUCGACCAGAGGGAAAAGGAGCAAUCCGCUUUGAGAUGGCCUCGCGUCCGAUUAGCUGGUUGGUGAGGUAAUGGCCCACCAAGGCGACGAUCGGUAGCCGGACUGAGAGGUUGAACGGCCACAUUGGGACUGAGACACGGCCCAGACUCCUACGGGAGGCAGCAGUGGGGAAUAUUGCACAAUGGGGGAAACCCUGAUGCAGCGACGCCGCGUGGAGGAAGAAGGUCUUCGGAUUGUAAACUCCUGUUGUUGAGGAAGAUAAUGACGGUACUCAACAAGGAAGUGACGGCUAACUACGUGCCAGCAGCCGCGGUAAAACGUAGGUCACAAGCGUUGUCCGGAAUUACUGGGUGUAAAGGGAGCGCAGGCGGGAAGACAAGUUGGAAGUGAAAUCUAUGGGCUCAACCCAUAAACUGCUUUCAAAACUGUUUUUCUUGAGUAGUGCAGAGGUAGGCGGAAUUCCCGGUGUAGCGGUGGAAUGCGUAGAUAUCGGGAGGAACACCAGUGGCGAAGGCGGCCUACUGGGCACCAACUGACGCUGAGGCUCGAAAGUGUGGGUAGCAAACAGAAUUAGAUACCCUGGUAGUCCACUCCGUAAACGAUGGAUUAUUAGGUGUUGGAGGAUUGACCCCCUCAGUGCCGCAGGUAACACAAUAAGUAAUCCACCUGGGGAGUACGACCGCAAGGUUGAAACUCAAAGGAAUUGACGGGGGCCCGCACAAGCAGUGGAGUAUGUGGUUUAAUUCGACGCAACGCGAAGAACCUUACCAAGUCUUGACAUCCUGCGACGAUGCUGGAAACAGUAUUUUCCUUCGGGACGCAGAGACAGGUGGUGCAUGGUUGUCGUCAGCUCGUGUCGUGAGAUGUUGGGUUAAGUCCCGCAACGAGCGCAACCCUUACUGUCAGUUACUACGCAAGAGGACUCUGGCAGGACUGCCGUUGACAAAACGGAGGAAGGUGGGGAGGACGUCAAAUCAUCAUGCCCCCUAUGACUUGGGCUACACACGUACUACAAUGGCGUUAAACAAAGAGAAGCAAGACCGCGAGGUGGAGCAAAACUCAGAAACAACGUCCCAGUUCGGACUGCAGGCUGCAACUCGCCUGCACGAAGUCGGAAUAGCUAGUAAUCGUGGAUCAGCAUGCCACGGCGAAUACGUUCCCGGGCCUUGCACU